AUUGAACGCUGGCGGCAGGCCUAACACAUGCAAGUCGAACGGUAACAGGAAGAAGCUUGCUUCUUUGCUGACGAGUGGCGGACGGGUGAGUAAUGUCUGGGAAACUGCCUGAUGGAGGGGGAUAACUACUGGAAACGGUAGCUAAUACCGCAUAACGUCGCAAGACCAAAAAGGGGGACCUUCGGGCCUCUUGCCAUCGGAUGUGCCCAGAUGGGAUUAGCUAGUAGGUGGGGUAACGGCUCACCUAGGCGACGAUCCCUAGCUGGUCUGAGAGGAUGACCGGCCGCACUGGAAGUUGGACACGGUCCCGACUCCUACGGGAGGCAGCAGUGUGGAAUAUUGCACAAUGGGCGCAAGCCUUAUGCAACCAUGCGGCGUGUAUGAAGAAGGCCCUCGGGUUGUAAAGUACUUUCAGCGGUGAGGAAGGGAGUAAAGUUGAUACCUUGCCUCAGUGACGUUACCCGCAGAAGAAGCACCGGCUAACUCCGUG
rnacentral:rRNA from 1 species